rnacentral:rRNA from 1 species
AUUGAACGCUAGCGGGAUGCCUUACACAUGCAAGUCGAACGGAGUGGCGAACGGGUGAGUAAUGUAUCGGAACGUGCCCAGUAGCGGGGGAUAACUACGCGAAAGCGUAGCUAAUACCGCAUACUAUUGGCGCGGCCGCUAUCGGCUUAGCUAGUUGGUGGGGUAACGGCUAACCAAGGCGACGAUCCGUAGCUGGUUUGAGAGGACGACCAGCCAGACUGGGACGGAGACAGGGCCCAGACUCCUCAGGGAGGCAGCAGUGGGGAAUUGUGGACAAGGGAGGAAUCCCUGAUACAGCCAUCCGGCGUGGGGGCUGAAGGCAUUGGGGUCGUAAAGCACGUUUGCAAGGGAAGCGGUACCUGCAAAGUAAGCACCGGCUGACUACGUGCCAGCAGCCGCGGUAAUUC